rnacentral:rRNA from 1 species
GACGAACGCUGGCGGCGUGCCUAACACAUGCAAGUCGAGCGGGAACCUCAGGAGGGGUAGCCCUCCUGAGGGGAGAGCGGCGAACGGGUGAGUAACACGUGGGCAACCUGCCCCGGACACCGGGAUAACCCAGGGAAACCUGAGCUAAUGCCGGAUACUCCGGCGAGAUCGCAUGGUCGCGCCGGGAAAGCUCCGACGGUCCGGGAUGGGCCCGCGGCCUAUCAGCUUGUUGGUGGGGUAACGGCCCACCAAGGCGACGACGGGUAGCUGGUCUGAGAGGGCGGCCAGCCACACUGGGACUGAGACACGGCCCAGACUCCUACGGGAGGCAGCAGUGGGGGAUCUUGCGCUAAUGCGCGAAAGCGUGACGCAGCGACGCCGCGUGGGGGAUGAAGGCCCUCGGGUUGUAAACCCCUUUCGGCAGGGGCGAAGCGAAAGUGACGGUACCUGCAGAAGAAGUCCCGGCUAACUACGUGCCAGCCGCCGCCGUAACAC